rnacentral:sRNA from 1 species
AGAGGGGAUAUUGUAUGUAACUGGUGACAUUUGAAAGAGACAUAUUGGACAGAAAUGACUUACGUGAAAGCUAAGAUACAAUAUAUUUAAUUUUCUAAGAAUUCAGUUCAAGGUAGUCUGCCUGGUUUCUCAAGUUCUGCAUGUUUCUUCAGUAGACUAAAUAAUGAUAAGGAAGCUGAGAUGUAGAGCUGAAGUGUCUUGCCCAAGAUCAUUUGUCUACUGCAGCUCCUGUUCCACUUCCUUUCUUGUACUGCUGAACAUCCAGAUAGAGGCAUUGACAUGCAUGGUUUCCAACUGAUCACUUCCUACUCCCUUAAGGACCUCCUGUCAGGCAGAAGACAGCUGGAUUCUCAUUUCUGCUUCUGCAUUCAGUCUAUUGUGAUAUAGCAUAUCAUGUAACUUCUGAAAAACUUCACUGUACACAGAUGCUGACCUCACAGACUCCCUGAAAGGAUCUCCAUGACCUCUAUGGUUCCUUAGACUGCACUUUGAGAACUAUUGACGUACAGGGAAAAAUGCUCUUGGUGCCAAGAAGGGAUUCCGAAGAUAGAAGAGGAGGCAUCAACACCGUGAACAUCAUGGCUGAGUUAUUUUGUGAGAGGGAUAAGCCUAAAGUAAAAACCUUGGAUUUGCCUCUGUCCUUGAACAUGCUAUCUGGAAAGAGUUUUCUUAAAAGUAUUGUUGUGAACACAUCCAUUUUCCCAGUAUAGUUGAAUGCAGGGUUUAAUAAAUGGAAUGAAUCUA